rnacentral:tRNA from 1 species
GGAAGGGUGACUGAGAGGUUGAAAGGAGCAGACUCGAAAUCUGUUGUACUUAGUACCGUGGGUUCGAAUCCCACCCCUUCUU